rnacentral:rRNA from 1 species
AUGGCGAGCAGGUUACAACAUACGAGUUUGACACCAAGGGAAUUUACCCUCCAAUACCUGGAACAGAUUACAGAUAACUUUUCAGAGGACCACAUAAUUGGUCGGGGUGAGCAUGGGGUAGUUUACAAGGGAGUACUGAACAGUGGGGAAGAGAUUACUCUGAAGAAGUUAUAUCAUACGCCAGAGCUUGACGACACACAGUUCAGGAAUGAGUUAAAUAACCUUGUGAGAGCCCAGCAUCAAAAUAUUGUUGGGUUGGUUGGCUACUGUUGUAAUCUUGGAAAAAAACGGGUUAAGCACGAUGAUGAAUAUACUUCUGCAGUAGUGGAAGAAAGAUUUCUCUGCUUCGAAUACUUACAGGGCGGAAGCCUGGACAAGUAUAUUCUUGACGAGUCGUGCGCACUUGAUUGGCCCACAUGUUUCAAAAUCAUUAAGGGGAUAUGUGAAGGUUUGAAUUACCUUCAUAAUGGAACCGAAGAUCGUAUUCUCCAUCUGAAUCUAAAACCUAGCAACAUAUUGCUGGACAAGAACAUGAUGCCCAAAAUAGGAGAUUUUGGUUUAUCAAGACUCUUCCCUUCAGCACAGUCCUAUGUAACAGCCCAAGCAAUAGAACGAACAUGGAAGCCACUAGAAUAUAUCGACAAAGGACAAACUACAUCGAAAUUUGACAUAUUCAGUUUGGGUCUUAUAAUAAUACAACUGAUGUCAAGGUUCAUUGGCUAUUCUCAUCGUCCAGACAUGCCUUCUCAAGAAUUUUUUGAUCUCGUUCGUCUAAACUGGGAGAAACAGCUGGCGGCAAUGACACCGUGUGAUACGUCAUGGCAAGUUAGGGCAUGCAUAGAAAUAGCGUUAAGAUGUUUGGAGGACGACCAAAUGAAAAGACCUGCUAUAGCGGAUAUUGUCAACGAGCUGAAUGAAAUUAACAGUAUCGAAAGUUGCGAGGCAGAGAUGGAGGACCGGUGCUCAGAAUGGCUUCAGGCAGCGAUGGAGCUUCCAGUUUCUGCUUCGCUUGGCCCCAUAGGACCCCUGUUCCAGAAACUCCAUUCAUUUAAGGCUACCAAAGAAAGUCUGCCAGUGGGCAUUAAUGAAGGUGAUAUCCAGAGUCUCAAGAAAGAGCUCGAGAAAUUAUGCAUCUCCCUCAUGGAUCUGUUAGAAGCCAAUGACACUAGCUUCACGGCCAAGUACUGGAUGAAGGAGGUGCGCGAAGUUUGUUACGAUACAGAGAAUUACUUUGACAAGCUUAUAAUGCAGUCCAAUAAUGGCAGUAGUGUGCGUUGGAUUUGCAAACUGCUGAAAAGACGGCCUCAGAUUGCAAUUGACUUCUCCGCCGCCGAGUUCCAUUAUUGCGCAUCCACAGGAUCCAGGGGAAGAUGA